AAUUAUUAUUAUUAUUAUUAUUAUUAUUAUUAUUAUUAUUAUAAGAAGAAAUGAUUAACUUCUUCCAUCAUCUAGUAAUGUCUAUUGGAAAAGGCUUGAAGACCACAACUUUUCAUCACCUCUUUCCUAAGGCCAUAUAUCUUAUCAAGAAAUCACGAUCAUCAUCAUCGUCAUCACUGCCAUCAUUGUUAUCACUACCACUUCCGUCAUCAUCAUCAAAAGAAUUUAUUAUUAUUAAUUAAAACAAAAAAGAAAAAAAAAGUGUUGUGCCUGCUGAAUUCUAUUUCAAGAAAGGAAUGGUAAAUGUAUUCCAGAGAAACAAGCCGAAAUUGACUUUAAUAAUCUCUUUUGAAAAAAAAAAACGAAAUAAUUUCAGUGAUUCUUGAACAAAUAAAAAGCAUUAAAAAGAAAACCAAAAUAAACAAAAACAGCAACGGAACUUUGAGAAGAAAUAAAAGACUUCAAGGAAACAUUUGUGACAUUAAAACUGAAGAUAAUAUCAACAACACAUAAAAAAAAUAAACCUUUGUCUUUUA
rnacentral:lncRNA from 1 species